AUGUAUUGAGUAAUUACCUAUAGAACCAUUUCAAUUGAGACAAGAGAUUGCUAGUCAGCUUGAAGUACCUGAAUUUGAUAUUGGCAGUAGUCACAGGGUGAUGUUCAGAUGAGUGUUACUAUUAUUCUUGUGUUUGGUGAGAGGGUCAGUAAACUGAUACCUGAAGUAACAUUACUCCAAUGGUUUCAUUCAUAUAUUGAUAUAUCGACACAGUAUCAAUUAUUAAAUGAAGCUGUUUAUAUUACCAAAAACUGUCCUCUUAAGCAAAUAAAAGAAAUUAGUCAGAGUUCAACACUGUAUAAUAUUGGGUGUGGUCGACGUAAUAAGCCCAUCCCACCUGCAUGCUAAUAUAAUGUGUCAGAAAUGUGAGAGUAGACUUAAUAUCUGCUCUGUGUGUCAUGCUCCUGUUAAAGGAUUAUACUCAAUGUGUGAGGUGUGUGGUCAUGGUGGCCACAUGUCUCAUUUGAAGGAAUGGUUCAGUACUAACAGCUGGUGUCCAUCUGGUUGUGGACAUAACUGUGUAACAUGAAAAUUGACAAAGUAUGCUGUGAAUCAAAGCAAUAAUGUGAUUUUAAUUUUUAAUUUUUGUGUACAAUUAUUAUUGAAAUGAUUAUUAAAAAUUGAAAAUCAUUCACAAACC